rnacentral:rRNA from 1 species
GACGAAGGGGGCUAGCGUUGUUCGGAAUUACUGGGCGUAAAGCGCGUGUAGGCGGUUGCCAUAGUCAGGUGUGAAAGCCUUGAGCUCAACUCAAGAAAUGCACUUGAUACUGGGCGACUAGAGGACCGGAGAGGAUAGUGGAAUUCCCAGUGUAGUGGUGAAAUACGUAGAGAUUGGGAAGAACACCAGUGGCGAAGGCGGCUAUCUGGACGGUUUCUGACACUAAGACACGAAAGCGUGGGGAGCAAACAGG